rnacentral:rRNA from 1 species
GACGAACGCUGGCGGCGUGCCUAAUACAUGCAAGUCGAGCGGAACACUUGGAGCUUGCUCCAAGCGUUUAGCGGCGGACGGGUGAGUAACACGUGGGCAACCUGCCCUGCAGAUCGGGGUAACUCCGGGAAACCGGUGCUAAUACCGAAUAGUUUGAGGCCUCUCCUGAGGCUUCACGGAAAGACGGUUUCGGCUGUCACUGCAGGAUGGGCCCGCGGCGCAUUAGCUAGUUGGUGGGGUAACGGCCCACCAAGGCCACGAUGCGUAGCCGACCUGAGAGGGUGACCGGCCAACCUGGGACUGAGACACGGCCCAGACUCCUACGGGAGGCAGCAGUAGGGAAUCUUCCGCAAUGGACGCAAGUCUGACGGAGCAACGCCGCGUGAGUGACGAAGGUUUUCGGAUCGUAAAACUCUGUUGUGAGGGAAGAACACGUACCAACUAACUAUUGGUACCUUGACGGUACCUCACCAGAAAGCCACGGCUAACUACGUGCCAGCCGCCGCCGUAACAC